AUUGAACGCUGGCGGCAGGCCUAACACAUGCAAGUCGAGCGAGCGGCGGGCGGGUGAGUAAGGGAGGGGGAAUGCCCGAUAGAGGGGGAUAACUACUGGAAACGGUGUGUAAUACCGCACACAGUGCGCUAACCCAUAUGGGAUUAGCUAGGAGGUAAGGUAAUGGCUUACCUAGGAGAGGAUCCCUAGCUGGUCUGAGAGGAUGAUAAGCCACACUGGGACUGAGACACGGCCCAGACUCCUACGGAGGCAGCAGUGGGGAAUAUUGCACAAUGGGCGCAAGCCUGAUACAGCCAUGCCGCGUGUAUGAAGAAGGCCCUAGGGUUGUAAAGUACUUUCAGUCGGGAGGCGUUACCGAAAGAAGAAGCACCGGCUAACUCCGUGCCAGCAGCCGCGGUAAUAC
rnacentral:rRNA from 1 species